AGGGGACGCCUUCACAUGCAAGUCGAACGCAGUAGCAUACUGAGUGGCAAACGGGUGAGUAUAAUGUAGGAAUCUGCCUUUAGGUUUGGAAUAACACGGGGAAACUUGUGCUAAUACCAAAUAAGCCUUUACGGGGAAAGUUUUAACGCCGAAAGAUGAGCCUGCACUUGAUUAGCUAGUUGGUAAGGUAAAAGCUUACCAAGGCAACGAUCAAUAGCUGUUCUUAGAGGAAGACCAGCCACAUUGGGACUGAGACACGGCCCAGACUCCUACGGGAGGCAGCAGUGGGGAAUCUUGCACAAUGGGGGAAACCCUGAUGCAGCGAUGCCGCGUGAGUGAAGAAGGCCUUUGGGUUGUAAAACCCUUUCGUCGGGGAAGAAAAUGACUGUACCCGAAUAAGAAGGUCCGGCUAACUUCGUGCCAGCAGCCGCGGUAAUACGAAGGGACCUAGCGUAGUUCGGAAUUACUGGGCUUAAAGAGCUCGUAGGUGGUUAACAAAGUCGAUGGUGACAUCCCAAGGCUCAACCUUGGAACUGCCAUCAAAACUUUUCAGCUAGAGUGUGAUAGAGGUAAGUGGAAUACCUCGUGUAGAGGUGAAAUUCGUAGAUAUUAGAAAGAACAGCAAAUGCGAAGGCAACUUACUGGGCACUACUGACACUGAGGAGCGACGCAUGGUAGGACCAGAUCAUCCCUCUAGUCCAUGCGAAACAUGUGUGUAAC
rnacentral:rRNA from 1 species